UACAGAGGGGGCAAGCGUUGUUCGGAAUUACUGGGCGUAAAGGGCGCGUAGGCGGCCUGUUAAGUCGAACGUGAAAUCCCCGGGCUCAACCCGGGAACUGCGUCCGAUACUUGCAGGCUUGAAUCCGGGAGAGGGAUGCGGAAUUCCAGGUGUAGCGGUGAAAUGCGCAGAGAUGUGGAGGAACACCAGUGGCGAAGGCGACUUUCUGGCUUAUAACUGACGCUGAGGCGCGAAAGCGUGGGGAGCAAACAGG
rnacentral:rRNA from 1 species